GGCGGUGUAGGUGGAAGCAGCGGAGGAGGAUGAUGAGGUAGCCAACACUUUCUUAUAUAUAUAUUUUUUUUUUUAUUUUUUUUUUUUUAAUUGGGGUAGCACCCAAAAUAUUGGGACAUAGAAAAAAGACAACUCUGUUCUGCAGAGUAGCUGUUGACAUUAUAGUUGUGCAGGCACUUUGUUGACUCUAGAGAACCUCGGGCCAAUCGCACAACCCCAUGACGGCAACUUUGCACUUGGAUGUCAUCCAUAUCAACAUUCAAUGCCAGCUUCUGCACCACGGGUAACGGGGAAUCAGGGUUCCAUUCCGUACAGGGACCCUGAGAAAUGGCUACCACAUGCAAGGAAGGCAGCAGGCACGCAAAUGACCCAUUCCUGACGCGGGAAGGUAG